UACGUAGGGGGCGAUCGUUGUCCGGAGUUACUGGGCGUAAAGCGCUUGUAGGCGGUCCACCAAGUUUGGGGUGACAGUUGCCGACUUAAUCGGCAAAGUGCCUCAAAGACUGGCGGACUUGAGGGCCACAGAGGGACAUGGAACUCCAGGUGUAGUGGUGAAAUGCGUAGAUAUCUGGAAGAACACCAAAGGCGAAGGCAGUGUCCUGGGUGGUCGCUGACGCUGAGAGGCGAAAGCCAGGGGAGCGAACGGG
rnacentral:rRNA from 1 species